rnacentral:misc_RNA from 1 species
CAACCCUCGAACCCCUCCGGGGGUCCGGCGUUGGGGAUCGGCCCUUUACCGGCCGGCCCCGAAAUGCAGUGGCGGUCUCGCCGCAGCCUCUCCUGCGCAGUAGUUUGCACACUCGCACCGGGAGCGCGGCGCGUCCACGUCCGUAAAACACCCAACUUCUGAAA